GACGAACGCUGGCGGCGUGCCUAAUACAUGCAAGUAGAACGCUGAAGGAGGAGCUUGCUUCUCUGGAUGAGUUGCGAACGGGUGAGUAACGCGUAGGUAACCUGCCUGGUAGCGGGGGAUAACUAUUGGAAACGAUAGCUAAUACCGCAUAAUAGCAGUUGUUGCAUGACAACUGUUUGAAAGGUGCAAUUGCACCACUACCAGAUGGACCUGCGUUGUAUUAGCUAGUUGGUGGGGUAACGGCUCACCAAGGCGACGAUACAUAGCCGACCUGAGAGGGUGAUCGGCCACACUGGGUCUGAGACACGGCCCAGACUCCUACGGGAGGCAGCAGUAGGGAAUCUUCGGCAAUGGACGGAAGUCUGACCGAGCAACGCCGCGUGAGUGAAGAAGGUUUUCGGAUCGUAAAGCUCUGUUGUAAGAGAAGAACGAGUGUGAGAGUGGAAAGUUCACACUGUGACGGUAUCUUACCAGAAAGGGACGGCUAACUACGUG
rnacentral:rRNA from 1 species